GACGAACGCUGGCGGCGUGCUUAACACAUGCAAGUCGAACGGAAAGGCCUGCUUUUGUGGGGUGCUCGCGUGGCGAACGGGUGAGUAACACGUGAGUAACCUGCCCUUGACUUUGGGAUAACUUCAGGAAACUGGGGCUAAUACCGGAUAGGAGCUCCUGCUGCAUGGUGGGGAUUGGAAAGUUUCGGCGGUUGGGGAUGGACUCGCGGCUUAUCAGCUUGUUGGUGGGGUAGUGGCUUACCAAGGCUUUGACGGGUAGCCGGCCUGAGAGGGUGACCGGCCACAUUGGGACUGAGAUACGGCCCAGACUCCUACGGGAGGCAGCAGUGGGGAAUAUUGCACAAUGGGCGGAAGCCUGAUGCAGCAACGCCGCGUGCGGGAUGACGGCCUUCGGGUUGUAAACCGCUUUCGCCUGUGACGAAGCGUGAGUGACGGUAAUGGGUAAAGAAGCACCGGCUAACUACGUG
rnacentral:rRNA from 1 species